AUUGAACGCUGGCGGCAUGCUUUACACAUGCAAGUCGAACGGUAACAGGCCGCAAGGUGCUGACGAGUGGCGAACGGGUGAGUAAUGCAUCGGAACGUGCCCAGUCGUGGGGGAUAACGCAGCGAAAGCUGUGCUAAUACCGCAUACGAUCUAUGGAUGAAAGCGGGGGACCGUAAGGCCUCGCGCGAUUGGAGCGGCCGAUGUCAGAUUAGGUAGUUGGUGGGGUAAAGGCCUACCAAGCCGACGAUCUGUAGCUGGUCUGAGAGGACGACCAGCCACACUGGGACUGAGACACGGCCCAGACUCCUACGGGAGGCAGCAGUGGGGAAUUUUGGACAAUGGGCGAAAGCCUGAUCCAGCAAUGCCGCGUGCAGGAUGAAGGCCUUCGGGUUGUAAACUGCUUUUGUACGGAACGAAACGGUGAGCUCUAAUACAGUUUGCUAAUGACGGUACCGUAAGAAUAAGCACCGGCUAACUACGUGCCAGCAGCCGCGGUAAAAC
rnacentral:rRNA from 1 species